ACGGAAGGCAGCAGUGGGGAAUAUUGCACAAUGGGCGAAAGCCUGAUGCAGCGACGCCGCGUGAGUGAAGAAGUAUCUCGGUAUGUAAAGCUCUAUCAGCAGGGAAGAAAAUGACGGUACCUGACUAAGAAGCCCCGGCUAACUACGUGCCAGCAGCCGCGGUAAUACGUAGGGGGCAAGCGUUAUCCGGAUCUACUGGGUGUAAAGGGAGCGUAGACGGUUUGGCAAGUCUGAAGUGAAAUGCGGGGGCUCAACUCCUGAACUGCUUUGGAAACUGUCGAACUAGAGUGCAGGAGAGGUAAGUGGAAUUCCUAGUGUAGCGGUGAAAUGCGUAGAUAUUAGGAGGAACACCAGUGGCGAAGGCGGCUUACUGGACUGUAACUGACGUUGAGGCUCGAAAGCGUGGGGAGCAAACAGGAUUAGAUACCCUGGUA
rnacentral:rRNA from 1 species